CCUACGGGAGGCAGCAGUGGGGAAUCUUAGACAAUGGGGGCAACCCUGAUCUAGCCAUGCCGCGUGAGUGAUGAAGGCCUUAGGGUCGUAAAGCUCUUUCGCCUGUGAUGAUAAUGACAGUAGCAGGUAAAGAAACCCCGGCUAACUCCGUGCCAGCAGCCGCGGUAAUACGGAGGGGGUUAGCGUUGUUCGGAAUUACUGGGCGUAAAGCGCGCGUAGGCGGAUUAGAAAGUUGGGGGUGAAAUCCCGGGGCUCAACCCCGGAACUGCCUCCAAAACUGCUAGUCUAGAGUUCGAGAGAGGUGAGUGGAAUUCCGAGUGUAGAGGUGAAAUUCGUAGAUAUUCGGAGGAACACCAGUGGCGAAGGCGGCUCACUGGCUCGAUACUGACGCUGAGGUGCGAAAGUGUGGGGAGCAAACAGGAUUAGAUACCCUGGUAGUCCACACCGUAAACGAUGAAUGCCAGUCGUCGGAUAGUAUACUAUUCGGUGACACACCUAACGGAUUAAGCAUUCCGCCUGGGGAGUACGGUCGCAAGAUUAAAACUCAAAGGAAUGACGG
rnacentral:rRNA from 1 species